GAUGAACGCUAGCGGCAGGCCUAAUACAUGCAAGUCGGACGGGAUUGAGGAGCUUGCUCUUCAUGAGAGUGGCGCACGGGUGCGUAACACGUAUGUAACCUACCUUGUUCAGGGGGAUAGCCUCUCGAAAGAGAGAUUAAGACCGCAUAACAUAUUGAAGUGGCAUCACUUUAUUAUCAAAUAUUUAUAGGAACAAGAUGGGCAUGCGGAACAUUAGCUAGUUGGUGAGGUAACGGCUCACCAAGGCGACGAUGUUUAGGGGAUCUGAGAGGAUGGCCCCCCACACUGGUACUGAGACACGGACCAGACUCCUACGGGAGGCAGCAGUAAGGAAUAUUGGUCAAUGGACGGAAGUCUGAACCAGCCAUGCCGCGUGCAGGAAGACGGCCCUAUGGGUUGUAAACUGCUUUUGCAGGGGAAUAAACCUCUCUACGUGUAGAGAGCUGAAUGUACUCUGAGAAUAAGGAUCGGCUAACUCCGUGCCAGCCGCCGCAGUAA
rnacentral:rRNA from 1 species